CUUGCUUCUCUUGAGAGCGGCGGACGGGUGAGUAAUGCCUAGGAAUCUGCCUGGUAGUGGGGGAUAACGUCCGGAAACGGACGCUAAUACCGCAUACGUCCUACGGGAGAAAGCAGGGGACCUUCGGGCCUUGCGCUAUCAGAUGAGCCUAGGUCGGAUUAGCUAGUUGGUGGGGUAAUGGCUCACCAAGGCGACGAUCCGUAACUGGUCUGAGAGGAUGAUCAGUCACACUGGAACUGAGACACGGUCCAGACUCCUACGGGAGGCAGCAGUGGGGAAUAUUGGACAAUGGGCGAAAGCCUGAUCCAGCCAUGCCGCGUGUGUGAAGAAGGUCUUCGGAUUGUAAAGCACUUUAAGUUGGGAGGAAGGGCAGUUACCUAAUACGUGAUUGUUUUGACGUUACCGACAGAAUAAGCACCGGCUAACUCUGUGCCAGCAGCCGCGGUAAUACAGAGGGUGCAAGCGUUAAUCGGAAUUACUGGGCGUAAAGCGCGCGUAGGUGGUUCGUUAAGUUGGAUGUGAAAUCCCCGGGCUCAACCUGGGAACUGCAUUCAAAACUGACGAGCUAGAGUAUGGUAGAGGGUGGUGGAAUUUCCUGUGUAGCGGUGAAAUGCGUAGAUAUAGGAAGGAACACCAGUGGCGAAGGCGACCACCUGGACUGAUACUGACACUGAGGUGCGAAAGCGUGGGGAGCAAAC
rnacentral:rRNA from 1 species